ACCCCGCCAAAUCGGACCACCCGCUUAAUCGAACCGGUUUGGCUUGGUCCCGAUGUGGUCCGAUUAAGCGGG
rnacentral:miRNA from 1 species